ensembl:snRNA U6 U6 spliceosomal RNA
GUGCUUGCUUCAGCGGCACACAUACUACAAUUGGAACAAUACAGAGAUUAGCAUGGCCCCUGCGCAAGGAUAACACGCAAAUUCGUGAAGCAUUUCAUAUAUAU